AUGUCUCCACCUGCCAACCGAUUUCAUACGUCGCUGGUUGCGCCCCCUGCACAAGCCAUCUAUGGAUCCACCCUGCCCAUCUGCUCCCUUUCGCCCCAACCUAACAAUCACCUCGGCUCAGGUUUCGGUUCACGUGUACCGCACUUCCACAAGCUCGACCUCCCUACGUAUGAUGGUCCGGUCGAUCCUCGGAGUUGGCUCCAUAGGUGCGAGCAAUUUUUUCGUUCACAGUGCACGGCCGAAGCUGACAAGGUCUGGACUGCAACGUACCACCUCACCAAUGACACUCAGUUCUUGUACUUACAACUCGAGCGCGAUUUCGGCAUGCCGACAUGGGAGCAGCUCAAGGAAGCUUGCAUGUUCGGUUUGGGCCGUCACUCCGCACGAAAUCCUUUGAGCGAGUUAGCACAUUUGCCAUUCACUUCCUCGAUUGUCGACUAG
rnacentral:rRNA from 1 species